AGUGGGGAAUAUUGGACAAUGGGGGAAACCCUGAUCCAGCGACGCCGCGUGUGUGAAGAAGGCCUGCGGGUUGUAAAGCACUUUUAGUGGGGAUGAAAAAUUCAGGGCUAAUAUCCCUGGGUCUUGACCUAACCCAAAGAAAAAGCACCGGCUAACUCUGUGCCAGCAGCCGCGGUAAUACAGAGGGUGCGAGCGUUAAUCGGAAUUACUGGGCGUAAAGCGUGCGUAGACGGUUAGAUAAGUCGGGUGUGAAAGCCCCGGGCUCAACCUGGGAAUUGCAUUCGAGACUGUUUAGCUAGGGUACGGAAGAGGGAAGCGGAAUUUCNGGU
rnacentral:rRNA from 1 species